rnacentral:rRNA from 1 species
CACGUAGGGUGCGAGCGUUGUCCGGAAUUACUGGGCGUAAAGAGCUCGUAGGUGGUUUGUCGCGUUGUUCGUGAAAACCGGGGGCUUAACCCUCGGCGUGCGGGCGAUACGGGCAGACUUGAGUACUGCAGGGGAGACUGGAAUUCCUGGUGUAGCGGUGGAAUGCGCAGAUAUCAGGAGGAACACCGGUGGCGAAGGCGGGUCUCUGGGCAGUAACUGACGCUGAGGCACGAAAGCGUGGGUAUCAAACAGG